GUGAGGAAUUUUCCGCAAUGGGCGAAAGCCUGACGGAGCAAAGCCGCGUGAAGGAUGAAGGCCUAUGGGUUGUAAACUUCUUUUCUCAGAAAAGAAUUAUGACGGUAUCUGAGGAAUAAGCAUCGGCUAACUCUGUGCCAGCAGCCGCGGUAAGACAGAGGAUGCAAGAGUUAUCCGGAAUGAUUGGGCGUAUAGCGUCUGUAGGUUGUUUAAAAAGUAUUCUGUCAAAGAUUAGGGCUUAACCCUAGAUAGGCAGAAUAAACUUAUAAGCUAGAGUUUGGUAGGGGCAGAGGGAAUUCCCGGUGGAGCGGUGGAAUGCGUAGAUAUCGGGAGGAACACCAAAGGCGAAGGCACUCUGCUGGGCCAAUACUAACACUGAGAGACGAAAGCGAGGGGAGCAAAUGGGAUUAGAUACCCGUGUAGUCC
rnacentral:rRNA from 1 species